rnacentral:rRNA from 1 species
GACGGACGCUGGCGGCGUGCUUAACACAUGCAAGUCGAACGGUAAGGCCCUUCGGGGUACACGAGUGGCGAACGGGUGAGUAACACGUGGGUGAUCUGCCCUGCACUUCGGGAUAAGCCUGGGAAAUUGGGUCUAAUACCGGAUAGGACUCCGGACUGCAUGGUCUGGGGUGGAAAGCUUUUGCGGUGUGGGAUGGGCCCGCGGCCUAUCAGCUUGUUGGUGGGGUGAUGGCCUACCAAGGCGACGACGGGUAGCCGGCCGGAGAGGGUGACCGGCCACACUGGGACUGAGAUACGGCCCAGACUCCUACGGGAGGCAGCAGUGGGGAAUAUUGCACAAUGGGCGCAAGCCUGAUGCAGCGACGCCGCGUGAGGGAUGACGGCCUUCGGGUUGUAAACCUCUUUCAGCAUCGACGAAGCGAAAGUGACGGUAGGUGCAGAAGAAGGACCGGCCAACUACGUGCCAGCAGCCGCAGUAA